UACGUAGGGGGCGAGCGUUGUUCGGAUUUAUUGGGCGUAAAGAGCGUGUAGGCGGCCAGGUAGGUCUGCUGUGAAAACUCGAGGCUCAACCUCGAGACGUCGGCGGAAACCAUCUGGCUAGAGUCCGGAAGAGGAGAGUGGAAUUCCUGGUGUAGCGGUGAAAUGCGCAGAUAUCAGGAAGAACACCCGUGGCGAAGGCGGCUCUCUGGGACGGUACUGACGCUGAGACGCGAAAGCGUGGGGAGCGAACAGG
rnacentral:rRNA from 1 species